rnacentral:rRNA from 1 species
GAGUUUGAUCCUGGCUCAGGAUGAACGCUAGCGACAGGCUUAACACAUGCAAGUCGAGGGGCAGCGGGGGAGUAGCAAUACUCCCGCCGGCGACCGGCGCACGGGUGAGUAACACGUAUGAAACCUGCCCGUAGCAGGGGGAUAAGCGGAAGAAAUUCCGUCUAAUACCGCGUAACAACCCAUGGAGGCAUCUCCGUGGGUUUAAAGGAAGCGAUUCCGGCUACGGAUGGUCAUGCGUCGCAUUAGCUUGUUGGCGGGGUAACGGCCCACCAAGGCGACGAUGCGUAGGGGUUCUGAGAGGAAGGUCCCCCACACUGGUACUGAGACACGGACCAGACUCCUACGGGAGGCAGCAGUGAGGAAUAUUGGUCAAUGGCCGCAGGGCUGAACCAGCCAAGUCGCGUGAGGGAUGACGGUCCUAUGGAUUGUAAACCUCUUUUGUCAGGGAGCAAAGGGCGCCACGUGUGGCGUUUUGCGAGUACCUGAAGAAAAAGCAUCGGCUAACUCCGUGCCAGCAGCCGCGGUAAUACGGAGGAUGCGAGCGUUAUCCGGAUUUAUUGGGUUUAAAGGGUGCGCAGGCGGAAUGUCAAGUCAGCGGUAAAAUUUCGGGGCUCAACCCCGUCGUGCCGUUGAAACUGGCGUUCUUGAGUGAGCGAGAAGUAUGCGGAAUGCGUGGUGUAGCGGUGAAAUGCAUAGAUAUCACGCAGAACUCCGAUUGCGAAGGCAGCAUACCGGCGCUCAACUGACGCUCAUGCACGAAAGCGUGGGUAUCGAACAGGAUUAGAUACCCUGGUAGUCCACGCAGUAAACGAUGAAUACUAACUGUCCGGGCCGAUUGAGGUCUGGGUGGUACAGCGAAAGCGUUAAGUAUUCCACCUGGGGAGUACGCCGGCAACGGUGAAACUCAAAGGAAUUGACGG